UGAUUGGGCGUAAAGAGUUCUAAGGUUGCCUUUUGCAUUGUUGGAACGAUAAGGAUAGGGCCCAACCCUAUUUCGUUUUUUAAAUACUAUUAGGCUAGAGUUUAUCAGGGGGCGAUAGAAUUCACAGAUGAGGGGUAAAAUCCGAAGAUUUUGUGAGGAAAACCGGAGGCGAAGGCGAUCGCCUGGUAUAAACUGACACUACAUGAACGAAGGUGUGGGGAGCGAAAGGGAUUAGAGACCCCUGUAGUCCACACAGUAAACGAUGAGUGCUAAAUCUCUGAUGUAUUUUGGGGGUUACAGCUAACGCGUUAAGCACUCCGCCUGGGGAGUACGGUCGCAAGACUAAAACUCAAAGGAAUUGGCGGGGAUUCAUACAAGCGGUGGAACAUGUGGUUUAAUUCGAUAAUACGCGCAAAACCUUACCAACCCUUGACCGCUUCUACAAGAAAGCUCUUCUUGUAUUAGACACAGGUGUUGCAUGGCUGUCGUCAGCUCGUGUUGUGAGAUGUUUGGUUAAGUCCUUUAACGAGCGCAACCUUUAUCUUUAAAAACAAAUCGAUAUAAGAUCGAAUGUACGUUAAAGAAACAGCGGUAUAAUCUAGUUCUGAGCAUUNGGNCANUUAGAUUUUUCCCUUGGCAGAGAAAAGUUUAAGUUUAUAUGUCUCGUACGCUCUAUAGGCUAUCGAUGCUACAAGACCGAGGAAGGUGAAGAUGACGUCAAGUUUCAUGGCCCUUAUGGGUUGGGCUACACACAUGUUACAAUGGCAAUUACAAUAGGAAGCAAAGGUGCGAGCCGGAGCAAAGCCAAAAAGAUUGUCCCAGUUCGGAUUAUAGGCUGCAACUCGCCUAUAUGAAGUCGGAAUCGCUAGUAAUCGCGGAUCAGAACGCCGCGGUGAAAUUGUGCUUGAAUCUUGUACACACCGCCCGUCACACCCUGGGAAUCGAAGGUACUUAAAGCUAUGUCUCAAGGCUUUUAGCAACUUGAGUUCUGUUAGAGUACGGUCUUUGACUGGGGUGAAGUCGUAACAAGGUAGUCGUAGGGGAACCUGCGGCUG
rnacentral:rRNA from 1 species